AUGUGGCCAGAAAAUAAUCUUUUACCAUGUUCUCUAGUAGCAGCUUCCUCACCCUUCAUUUCAAAACUGAUAAAUCUGUGGGAUAACGAGGCUUCAAAAUCCUUCUUGAAGAGCUAUAUCACCAGCCAACAGAAAGUGAGAUGGAAGGCAGCAGCCAAUCUAAGUAAUGAUCUGGGUCCUUCCCUGUCUGCUUUGCGAAGAAGUCCUGUUGUUAAAGUAGUAUCGAAGAUUACAGGCAGUUAUGGGAUGCUGGCAGGAAGGGGGGACGAAGCAGUGAGUCAAGAGGCAAGAAAAUCAGGGGGCUGACUGAGGUAAGUCCGUCUGCCAGCUGCACAUUUCCCAGCUUCAGGGGGCCCCUAUGGGGCUUACGUGAACUGCUUGAGACAAAAUACUGAAAAGAACAACACCUGUAAAGAGCUACUGGGGCAACAUUUGCAUGGCAUGUAUCACCACAAAGGGGUGGGAGUGCUAUGCUGCAUGCAGAUGUUCCUGCCCAGGCCAUGGCUCAAAGCCAUGCUCCCCCUGGACUUGCUGGAUUUAUAAGCCUAUGAUGCUGUUGACACGUGGUAAGUCUCUGCUUUCUUUUUUUCUCCUUCUCUCAGGGGACUCUGAACUUGUGGGGGUGGCCUCUUCUCCCACGUAACUAACAACAGGAUGAGAGGAAAUGGCCUCAAGUUGUGCCAGGGGAGGUUCAGGUUAGAUAUUAGGAAAAAGUACUUCUCCAAAAGAGAGAUCAGGCACUGGAACGGGCUGCCCAGGGAGGUGGUUGAGUCACCGUCCCUGGAGGUGUUCAAGAAACAUUUAGAUGUGGUACUAAGGGACAUGGUUUGUGAGGAAAUAUUGGUGAUAGAUGGAUGGUUGGACUGGAUGAUCUUGGAGGUCUUUACCAACUUUGGUGAUUCUAUGGAUGGCCACUGAUCUUUGGGAUCUAUGGGCAUUGUAGGCUGGUUGGUAUUGCAUACUGGAUCAGUGACAACUUCCAUCUAGAGUCACCAACAGUCUAUAUCUUCAGCCUACUGAGACUGGACUUCAUCAGUCACAAACCAAAAUAUCUGAACUUAAACUGGAGAUUUUCAGGUUUUGAAAAAUUUUCAGGUUUCUUCUCUGCUAAGAAGUUGUGGAGUACAUAGGGUAAAAUGUGUGAUUCAAGCCACCUUUCUGUAGACUUUUUCUGGUUUGGAAUUUCAAAACUGAGCAGUCAGUUUUAGAAAUCUUUUUACUGCAGCAUGUUUUGUGGUGCUGUAGUUCUGAAGAUGUUAAAUUCAGAGAUAUGCAUAGAGAAUGCAUGCUUCUUCAGGAGUUAGGUGCAUGUUUAAUAUCAAGUCCUUUCCACAACUGGUACUCGUCUGUCAAAAUAAAACUGGUAACUCCAGUUCA
rnacentral:lncRNA from 1 species